GGCCGCGUCGACGGCUUGACAUAUAGAGGAAACGUGCAGAGAUGUACGCCCCGCAAGGUCUCUAUACAGGUGGUGCAUGGUUGUCGUCAGCUCGUGUCGUGAGAUGUUGGGUUAAGUCCCGCAACGAGCGCAACCCUCGUUCUAUGUUGCCAGCACGUAAUGGUGGGAACUCAUGGGAUACUGCCGGGGUCAACUCGGAGGAAGGUGGGGAUGACGUCAAAUCAUCAUGCCCCUUAUGUCUUGGGCUUCACACGUACUAC
rnacentral:rRNA from 1 species